GCUUCUUCGACCAUUUCCUUCGACGAAGUGCAGAACAUCACGAGAGCAUGACCAUGUCGCCAGCUCGAGGAGAUGCACGAAGAUGAGGGCCAUCGCAUACGGGUUUUCCUCUACGCGAGCGUGAUGAUUGAUGGAUGUGAGGAAAAGGUGGUACCGGUGUGAGAAUUUGUCUCGUGAAAAAGCUUUGAGCAAAGAAAGCUCUGGUAGAAAUUGGAGGAGAGCAGCAGCUAUUCGAGGAAACUGAUGAGUACGUUUCAUGAUGAACUGAGAGGUGGGGGGGAAGAGUUUUCAGGCAUUCGAUUGCUUUCAAUGUUGCCUGCACAAUCAGAUUGUAGCCAACGGCAUGGGUUCCCGUUUGUUUCAGAUUUAGCGCUCUUAAUGGCCGAGUCUGAAUUCAACUGCACAGUUUCACCAUUUUCGGUUGGAUUGAUGGCAAGCUCUCUGGAAGAAGCCAUGGCCUGAGCAGAAAUUUGAACACCCAUCGACAAAACCUUGGACGCAGCUCUGUCGAAUGGGAAGUCCGUGGAUGAAUUGAGAUCUGGAUUGCUUGAAGAGUUGAACGACCAUGGGCGAUGGAUCCAGCAGAGGUCAAUCGUGAGGACGGACCGCCGAACAUUGGAAGUCAAGGUUCAAUUUCCGCAUUUGACACCCCUUUUUGGGUGGUGCUCCCAUUUUGUCGAGCUGGAACUGGCGACGGUUAAAAGCUCACACCUUCAUUCUGGUUCACAGGCGACCGCUAGAAACUCACUCUCCUUCAUUCUGGUUCACGGCUUCGUUUCUCAAGAAUCCCUUAUCCGAUGACGAUGUCGGACAGAGACUCCUCUAGAACACGAUUUCACUGGCUUUUAUUUGGGGAAAUCACAAGCCAUCGGCUUGUUGUUAGAUACUUCGUUUCCCUCCGAAGCGAAAAAAGUGACUACAUCAAAUUUCAUCUGUCGAUUAUACAUCAGCGUUUGUUCAACGUGGGAGGGUUAUGAGCAAAACCCUCUGAAACCCUCGUAUUUUGUAUCAGCAUCAGCCUCAUAUUUCAUAUUUGACACGCACAAAAAACCCUGUUUCGUUCCGAGACGGGACCAAAGCAGAGAGAGCAAGAGAGGAGGGAACGUCGGCUAUAUAG